rnacentral:lncRNA from 1 species
GUUAAAUUAUAGUAUUAUAAUCCCAUUGGCUCUUUCUUUUUAACAGGUACUGACUUUGACCCAAGAAAGAGGAAUCUGGGUGGUUGAAAUCAAAAUUAACAUCCAUUUAAAGGGCAUCAUCGCACCUACUAAAAUUCCAUCCUUAUUGAUCUCAUGAUGCAACGGAGGAG